rnacentral:rRNA from 1 species
GACGAACGCUGGAGGCGUGCUUAACACAUGCAAGUCGAACGAUGAAGUGGAGCUUGCUCCACGGAUUAGUGGCGAACGGGUGAGUAACACGUGAAUAACCUGCCCUCAAUUUCGGAAUAACCCAGGGAAACCUGGGCUAAUACCGGAUAAGUAAACCUGUGGCAUCACAUGGUUUUGGAAAGUUUUUCGAUUGAGGAUGGAUUCGCGGCCUAUCAGCUUGUUGGUGAGGUAAUGGCUCACCAAGACAAUG